UAAGUAUUCCCUCCGUCCGAAAAUACUUGUCAUAGGAAUGGAUGUAUCUAGAUGUAUUUUAGUUAUAGAUACAUCCAUUUUUAUUCAUUCAUGUGACAAAUAAUUUCGGACGAAGGGAGUAUAAG
rfam:Hordeum vulgare subsp. vulgare, WGS project CAJW01000000 data, contig: morex_contig_110798